rnacentral:ncRNA from 1 species
UGACCGAGAUAAUGAUAGUUUUAUUCUUGCUAUAAUACUUAUUAUAAUUUAAUAUUAUAUGUUAAUUUUUGUGAAAUUAUUAUCUUGAUGAUGUAAGGUUAAAUAUUUGCAGUAAUAAGUGUUAAUUAUGAAAGAAAUUUUGAAUUAGUUAUUUUUUUUAAUUUUGAUUAAAUAUGUGCCAGCAAUCGCGGUUAUACAUAGAAUAUAAGUAAGUAUUUUUAUUUUGUAGUUAUUUAAUUUACUUUGGAUAAAAUUUAUUAGUUUUUAGGUAAAAUUUAAUUUUAAAGAUUUAUUUAAUUAAGAGAAAUGAGGCUAUGAAAUCUAAUAAUUUAAACUAGGAUUAGAUACCCUAUUAUUUUAGAUUUAAAUUUAUUAAUUUGAGUAGUAUUAGUUAUGAUCUUGAAACUUAAAGAAUUUGGCGGUAUUUUAGUCUAGUUAGAGGAAUCUGUCUCGUUAUCGAUAGUCCGCGUUGAACCUUACUUGAUUUAUUUGACAUGUAUACCGCCGUUUAAUUGAAAAUCUUCUUAGAAUUAAUUUUCUUUAAAUAAAAUUUUAUUUUAUUUCAGGUCAAGGUGCAGUUUAUAAUUAAGUGAUGAUGGAUUACAAUAUUUACAAAAUAUGAUGGAUUAUAUUUUGAGAUAAUUUUAUGAAGGAGGAUUUAAUAGUAAUUAAUAAUAAGAUUUAUUUUUUUGAUAUUAGCUCUAAAUUGUGUACACAUCGCCCGUCACUCUCGUAUUAAUAUGAGAAAAGUCGUAACAAAGUAGGUGUACCGGAAGGUGCAGCUAGACUAAGGAU